ACGACCUUACUUGAACAGGAUCUGUUCUAUAGGAUCGUACUGUUGCAUCCUUGACUAAUAAGGAGGCAAGCACUAAAACCUGUUUGAUGAAGUCUGACCUAUGGGCCAGAGCGUGAUUAACGGCUCAGAUUACUCCUGAUGGUGUCCUACGGCUGUAGAGGAUCGUUCCUGUUCAGUUUGCUGACCGGGUGGCUCACAGGUUGUCUGACAGGUA